GUUGGAGCAGAGAAACAAGUGAAACAUGCAGGGCUGCAGUGGCCACGUUGGGUUCAAACCACAGCUGAACAGAAGGAGACUGUGGUCGGGUAAAGAAAGCAGCUGGCCCGUUCUGCUCUUUGCUUCCAGUUCAUUCCGGACACUUGUGUGUGCGCACGCCAACUGCUGCGAAAAACACCCACUGGCAAAAAAUAGACUGAGAGAAAGAUGCAGAAAACCAGCGAAAGAGAAGAAACCAAGCUUUGUGUUUUUAAGGCCUUUUCAAGACAUUUUUAUUGUCAUCGUUUUCUUUUAUUUUUGUACAAAGAACUUCACAAAAAGAAAUAUUAAGAAACAUGUAGAAACAGACGCCAUGUAAGCUGAGGACAUCACGAGCAGAUCAGUGCCACAGACAGGAAAGUGUGAGAGAAGGAGAUAAUGACCAGUUUCUUGAUUUUUUUUUCACGGCUUUUCGAAAUCAUGUAGCGUCCACCGUUUAACCCCACGAGUGAACUCAGGCAACCCAAAAGUUUUCUCCACUGACUGUGACAACUUAAAAAUAAAAUAAAAUAAAAUACUGCUUGUGAUGCUUUCUACAAAGUUUUUCUUUUCUACAGUUGAUUGACGGCUCAUUGCAGAGAGACAUAAAGUGCCACACAAAGCGUACGUCAACUGAAACUCCAGUGUCAAAAAUACAUUUUCUGUUCACGAGAUUAUCAUGAUCGUUUCGAAUUUAAAAAAAGAAAAAAAAA